CGGGCCCCACGCAAUGGACUGCCCCGAACCGUGUCAGGACGGGAACGUAGCAGCACUAAGGAGAUUUGUCCAUGUGACGUGGAU
rnacentral:SRP_RNA from 1 species